CAGCGAAUUACUUUCAGUAGCGAGGUUAACCGUGUAGGGGAGCCGUAGGGAAACCGAGUCUUAAUAGGGCGUUUAGUUGCUGGGAGUAGACCCGAAACCGGGCGAUCUAGCCAUGAGCAGGUUGAAGGUGCCGUAACAGGCACUGGAGGACCGAACCCACCGUCGUUGAAAAGCCGGGGGAUGACUUGUGGCUAGGGGUGAAAGGCUAAUCAAGCUCGGUGAUAGCUGGUUCUCCCCGAAAGCUAUUUAGGUAGCGCCUCGGACGAAUACCACUGGGGGUAGAGCACUGUUUCGGCUAGCGGGUCAUCCCGACUUAGCAACCCGAUGCAAACUCCGAAUACCAGUGAGUACUAUCCGGGAGACAGACGGCGGGUGCUAAUGUCCGUCGUCAAGAGGGAAACAACCCAGACCGCCAGCUAAGGUCCCCAAAAUCACAGUUAAGUGGGAAACGAUGUGGGAAGGCAUAGACAGCUAGGAGGUUGGCUUAGAAGCAGCCACCCUUUAAAGAAAGCGUAAUAGCUCACUAGUCGAGUCGGCCUGCGCGGAAGAUGUAACGGGGCU
rnacentral:rRNA from 1 species